ACUCAAAUGAAUUGACGGGGGCCCGCACAAGCGGUGGAGCAUGUGGUUUAAUUCGAUGCAACGCGAAGAACCUUACCUACCCUUGACAUACAGCGAAUUUAGCAGAGAUGCUGAAGUGCCUUCGGGAGCGCUGAUACAGGUGCUGCAUGGCUGUCGUCAGCUCGUGUCGUGAGAUGUUGGGUUAAGUCCCGUAACGAGCGCAACCCUUAUCCUUAGUUGCCAGCGCGUAGAGGCGGGAACUCUAAGGAGACUGCCGGUGACAAACCGGAGGAAGGCGGGGACGACGUCAAGUCAUCAUGGCCCUUACGGGUAGGGCUACACACGUGCUACAAUGGUUGAUACAGAGGGAGGCGAAGCGGCGACGUGGAGCAAACCCUAAAAAGUCAAUCGUAGUCCGGAUUGAAGUCUGCAACUCGACUUCAUGAAGUCGGAAUCGCUAGUAAUCGCGAAUCAGCAUGUCGCGGUGAAUACGUUCCCGGGCCUUGCACACACCGCCCGU
rnacentral:rRNA from 1 species